UUCCUGCUAUGAGUGCACCAGCAGGAGGGAUCAUUACAGAGUUAUCUAACUCCCAAACCCAUGUGAACUUACCUUUGUUGCCUCGGCAGUUGUUGUUGGGCCAGCCUACCCUGGAGCGAGCUACCCUGUAGCGAGCUACCCUGGAACGGCCUACCCUGUACGACUGCCGGUGGACUACUAAACUCUUGUUAUUUUUAAAGUAAUCUGAGCGUCUUAUUUUAAUAAGUCAAAACUUUCAACAACGGAUCUCUUGGUUCUGGCAUCGAUGAAGAACGCAGCGAAAUGCGAUAAGUAAUGUGAAUUGCAGAAUUCAGUGAAUCAUCAAUCUUUGAACGCACAUUGCGCCCAUUAGUAUUCUAGUGGGCAUGCCUGUUCGAGCGUCAUUUCAACCCUUAAGCCUAGCUUAGUAUUGGGAAUCGACUGUACUGUCGUUCCUCAAAUUCAACGGCGGAUUUAUAGCAAUCUCUGAACGUAGUAAUUUUUACACCUCGUUUCUGAAAUGCUUUAAACCUCAGCCGCUAAACCCCCAAUUUUCUAUGGUUGACCUCGGAUCAGGUAGGAAUACCCGCUGAACUUAA
rnacentral:rRNA from 1 species